GAGGGUAUACCUCAGUGGUAGAGCGCAUGCUUAGCAUGCACGAGGUCCUGGAUUCAAUCCCCAAUACCUCCA
rnacentral:tRNA from 1 species